rnacentral:lncRNA from 1 species
GGUGGGACCAGUCCCAUGACUGGAGUGCUGCAAUGUCUGGCUAUCGGCUCUUCAGAAGGGACAGGCAGCACAGAAGGUGUGGUGGCGUGGCUCUCUACAUUAGAGAGUGCUUUGAUGUUGAGGAACUUGAGGCUGGGAAUGAUAAGGUUGAGUCCCUAUGGGUUAGGAUCAGUGGGAAGGCCAACAAGGCAAGCAUCCCGGUGGGGGUCUGUUAUAGACCGCCAAACCAGGCUGAGGAGACUGAUGAGGAGUUCUACAGGCAGCUGGCAGAAGCUGCGAAAUCAUCAGCGCUUGUUCUCGUGGGGGACUUCAACUUCCCAGACAUAUCCUGGAAGCACAACACAGCCCAGAGAAAGCAGUCUAGGAGGUUUCUGGAGAGCAUGGAAUGGUUUCCUGACGCAGCUGGUGAGUGAGCCUACCAGGGGAGGUGCCCCACUAGACCCGCUGUUCACAAACAGAGAAGGACUGGUGGGAGAUGUGGUGGUCGAGAGCUGUCUUGGGCAGAGUGACCAUGAAAUGGUAGAGUUCUCUAUUCUUCGUGAGGUCAGGAGGGGGAUCAGUAAAACUGCUGUCUUGGACUUCCAGAGGGCAGACUUUGAGCUGUUCAGGGCACUGGUUGGCAGAGUCCCCUGGGAGGCAGUUCUGAAGGGCAGAGGAGUCCAGGAAGGCUGGGCAUUCUUCAAGAAGGAAAUCUUAAAGACUCAGGAGCAGUCUGUCCCCACGUGCCCAGAGACAAGCUGGUGCAGAAGAAGACCGGCCUGGCUGAACAGAGAGUUGUGGCUAGAGCUUAGGAGAAAAAAGAAGGUUUAUGAAUUUGGAAAAGAGGGCGGGCCACUCAAGAGGUCUAUAAGGAUGUUGUAAGGCUGUGCAGGGACUAAAUUAGAAAGGCCAAAGCUCAUCUGGAGCUCAAUCUGGCUACUGCUGUUAAAGAUAACAGAAAAUGUUUUUAUAAAUACAUCAACACAAAAAGGGGGACUAAGGAGAAUCUCCACCCUUUACUGGAUGCAGGGGGAAACUUAGUGACAAGAGAUGACGAAAAGGCUGAGGUGCUUACUGCCUUCUUUGCCUCAGUCUUUAACAGCAAGACCAGUUGCUCUCUGGAUACCCAGUACCUUGAGCUGGGGGAAGGGGAUGGG